rnacentral:rRNA from 1 species
AUUGAACGCUGGCGGCAGGCCUAACACAUGCAAGUCGAACGGAGUGGCGGACGGGUGUGUAAUGCCUAGGAAUCUGCCUGGUAGUGGGGGAAAACGUCCGGAAACGGGCGCUAAUACCGCAUACUAUCAGAUGAGCCUAGGUCGGAUGAGCUAGGUGGUGGGGUAAAGGCCUCACAAGGCGACGAUCCGGAACUGGUCGGAGAGGAUGAUCAGUCACAUGGGAACUGAGACACGGUCCAGACUCCUACGGGAGGCAGCAGUGGGGAAUAUUGGACAAUGGGCGAAAGCCUGAUCCAGCCAUGCCGCGUGUGUGAAGAAGGUCUUCGGAUUGUAAAGCACUUUAAGUUGGGAGGCGUUACCCGCAGAAGAAGCACCGGCUAACUCCGUGCCAGCAGCCGCGGUAAUUC